rfam:Acinetobacter rudis CIP 110305 genomic scaffold acVBL-supercont1.4, whole genome shotgun sequence.
CCCACACAGUUCAUCGAGUGUGAAUAGGAUAUGCAGGAAAGUGAAAAUCUAAAUUGGGAGUGAUGCCCCACACAAAAUUGAAUGAUGAAACUGAAAAGUAAAGAAUACUGUGCCUAUUCAGUGGUUCUUUAAAGUAGGGAGUAGCUAUGGGCCACAGCAUAGAUCUUCUGUGGUA